rnacentral:rRNA from 1 species
UACGAAGGGGGCUAGCGUUGCUCGGAAUCACUGGGCGUAAAGCGCACGUAGGCGGCUUCUUAAGUCAGGGGUGAAAUCCUGGAGCUCAACUCCAGAACUGCCUUUGAUACUGAGGAGCUUGAGUCCGGGAGAGGUGAGUGGAACUCCGAGUGUAGAGGUGAAAUUCGUAGAUAUUCGGAAGAACACCAGUGGCGAAGGCGGCUCACUGGCCCGGUACUGACGCUGAGGUGCGAAAGCGUGGGGAGCAAACAGGG